CCUACGGGCGGCAGCAGUGAGGAAUAGUGGUCAAUGGACGCAAGUCUGAACCAGCCAUGCCGCGUGCAGGAAGACGGCUCUAUGAGUUGUAAACUGCGUUUGUAGGAGGGUAAACGCAGAUACGCGUAUCUGUCUGAAAGUAUCGUACGAAUAAGGAUCGGCUAACUCCGUGCCAGCAGCCGCGGUAAUACGGAGGAGUCAAGCGUUAUCCGGAUUUAUUGGGUUUAAAGGGGGCGUAGGCGGUCGGAUAAGUUAGAGGUGAAAACCCGCGGCUCCACUUCGGAAUGGCCUCUGUUACGGUUCGGCUAGAGCGUAGUUGCGGUAGGCGGAAUGUCUGGUGUAGCGGU
rnacentral:rRNA from 1 species